AAUAACUCAAUUCCUGAGUUUCUGUGUCCAACAUUUGACCGUCCGUCUUAUUUGAAAAAAUUAUGAAAAAAAAUUAAAAAAAUAAGUCACACAUAAAGUAUUAUUUAUGUUUUAUCAUUUAACAACAAUGAAAAUACUAAUUAAAAAAAUCAUAUAAAACGAACAGUCAAACGUAGGACACGAAAACCCAGGAAUUGAGUCUUU
rnacentral:pre_miRNA from 1 species